UUAUUUUUAUUUUUUUUUGGGGUCUUUGAAAUUCAAUUUGAUAAGCUGAGUCAUCCAUACAUUCAUACAAUGGUCUGAAGGAAAAACUUGUGAAGUGCUUUCUGUCAAAAUAAUUGGUAAAGGGUUUAGCUGAGGCAAAAGUUAAUGUGGCUAUAAAGCCUAUUUCUUCUACUGAAAAUGACCUGUGGGUAUAUCUUCAGGCGCUAUGGUUCUAUCUUUUUUAGCUUAUUAUUGUUCCCUAAACCAGUUAACCCUGCACCUGCGGAGUUACUAGGUUGACUGUGUCCUUUUAUUUUUUCCCUUUUUCCCUUUUAUUUUAUUUAUUUAUUUAUUUAUUUUUUUCCCUCCUCCUCCUCUUCUAAUCAAAAUAUUGGUUGUGGCUGUGUCUGUGUGGAAAGGAUGGUAAUUAUAGGGUACUCUUCAGGUGUUGAUAUGCCUUCAAAAUACCUUUCUUUUUUGGUUCUCUCCCUCUUUUUAUCUAAAUUUUCUUCAAAUGAUAUUAACUUUUCUUUUCUUUUUUUCCCUUUUAAUCUUGAGGUGGAGAAACCAAAUUCUCUUUUUAACCCAAAAUGAUGUCAGAGAUCUUUUUUAUGACAUGGCAAAUUGUCAUUGGCUUAGAGAAACAUUCAAAGAUCAGCUAGAGAUUAUAUGUAUUUGUGAUAAGAGUACAGUAGACAUGUCACCAAGUCAUAACCAUUAAUUCGUGAUUGAGUAAUAACCUGAAAUUAAUUUUUGUAUUCCCUUUGGCAAAUUAAGCAAAUCACCUAUAAAGCAAUGAGAAAAAGAAGCAACAAAAAAUGGAUAGGAUCUCAAACUUGCCUGAAGCCGUAGUCCCCCACAUCAUGUGGUUCCUUCCUACAAAUGCAGACAUUAUCCAAAUUAGUUUCUUGUCCAAUAAAUUCAACUCUUUAUGGCGUUCAUUCCCAAUACUUGAUAUCAAUCUCAGCAUCAAUUUAGAGAGAUCAAAUGAAUGGAAUAAGAAAAGAAAUGUGAAGCUGAGCUUGAAGCUCCAAAUCAAGUUUGGUUUGAGUACCAUGGGUGCGAAAUGUUUGAAACGCCAUUAGUGAUGUGGAUCAGAUGCUGCUGAACUCCAUAUCAAACAUGAUUUAACUGUCACAAAUCCGUAUCUUAGGCUUGUGAGAGAUUUUACCAGAUCAUUAAGUCAUUGCUAAACACUCAUCCUGGUCUGCAAUUCUAAUCAGUUGAUUCAAGAGAAGUGAUGAUGACAGGACAAACAUUAGAUCCUGGUCCAUUAAUUAUACGACAUUAAAUAUUUGAAGAUAAAAUUGAGGUACAUAAAUGAUAAAACACAGUUUGGUGGAAGCGAUUGAUAGUUUGCUUCGGUUUGCUGCUCAUCCUAAUAUUAUCGCCAUCAGUACUAAUCAUUCACUGCUCCAUGUAAUAAAGGUAGCAUUUAAAUGUUAUCCAAUUUUCUUAUUUAUUUUUACUUUUUGAAUAUUUGAAAUAAUGCGUGUCUAUUAAAUUAAAAGAUUUUUGUAAGUGAACUACAUAAAUGGGGAUUCUUUUUGGCCUAAAUGUUUAUACUACAUCCAAAUUUUAGCCAAACAAUAUUGAAGUUAAUUAAUUAAUAACAAAUAUUAUACAUCUUUUAUUUUCAAAAUCCAAAUGUACUUUAUCUACCUAGAAGAUCCAGAAAAACAAACUAAAAAGUUAAUAACCAAAUUUUGCCACCAAAAACUAGUCAAAAUCAGAAAGAUAUGGAUUUUAUUUUAUGUCAAUAUAUAUUAUUAUAUAUUAUAUAGUGCCACCUUAAUCAAUUUGUAUAUUUCUUGUCAUUUUAUGUAUUAUUUAUUAAAAUAAUAAUCCAUUUGAAUUGUGGAUGCACUUUAUGAUGAGCAUGUGAAUG